AGAGUUUGAUCAUGGCUCAGAACGAACGCUGGCGGCAGGCCUAACACAUGCAAGUCGAGCGCCCAGCAAUGGGAGCGGCGGACGGGUGAGUAACGCGUGGGAAUUUUUCCUGGAGUACGGAACAACCGAGGGAAACUUCGGCUAAUACCGUAUGAUGCCGAGAGGCCAAAGAUUUAUCGCUCUGGGGUGAGCCCGCGUCAGAUUAGGUAGUUGGUGGGGUAAUGGCCUACCAAGCCUGCGAUCUGUAGCUGGUCUGAGAGGACGAUCAGCCACACUGGGACUGAGACACGGCCCAGACUCCUACGGGAGGCAGCAGUGGGGAAUCUUGCGCAAUGGGCGAAAGCCUGACGCAGCCAUGCCGCGUGAGUGAAGAAGGUCUUAGGAUUGUAAAGCUCUUUCGCUCGUGACGAUGAUGACGGUAACGAGAGAAGAAGCCCCGGCUAACUUCGUGCCAGCAGCCGCGGUAAUACGAAGGGGGCUAGCGUUGUUCGGAAUUACUGGGCGUAAAGCGCGCGUAGGCGGUUUUGCAAGCCAGAGGUGAAAUGCCUGAGCUCAACUCAGGAAUGGCCUUUGGGACUGCGAGGCUUUGAGGACUGGAGAGGUGAGUGGAAUUCCCAGUGUAGAGGUGAAAUUCGUAGAUAUUGGGAAGAACACCGGUGGCGAAGGCGGCUCACUGGCCAGUUUCUGACGCUGUAGCGCGAAAGCGUGGGGAUCAAACAGGAUUAGAUACCCUAGUAGUCC
rnacentral:rRNA from 1 species